UCUUUGUUUAAGACCAUGGACACUGUCCUAGCCUUGAAAUCCCCUGUUUCUCCACGAAGCAGAGGAGUUAAACAAGAAAAACAUAGGAUUUUAAUUUUAUAUAUCAUCUGGUGUUUCAACGAAGAGAUCUGUUCCUUUAGUAAGUAUGGAUGUGUUCUUGUCGAACUCAGGAGGCAAGUAAGAAGUGUCUUCAAUAGGCAACACAGGCGCAGAGCCAUUCAAUCUAUUUAUCUUGCAACCUCUUCUUGCUUUCAGCGUCGCAGCACCUCUCAAUGCUUAUUUUACCAAACACCAAUGUCUCAGAAACAGAGCAUUCCUUGUAGAAAACAAAAAAAAAAAAAAAAAANACCAAAAUAACAAAAGCUUUAUCUUCUUCUGAUGAUGGUGAGCUCAAGGUCAGGAGCAGGCAUAGGAAGUUUAAGAACUGCCCUUGCUAGAAUUGCUAAGUUUGCAAAGUUCUAGCCAUCUAGGUUCUUAAAACAAGAAAAAAAAAUCCCAAAGCCAGUCAGAGUCAGAGAAUCGAACGUUUGUAUGGCAAAAUAAGAGGAAAGAAUGAAGAUAUAUGUGUUGUGGUGGAAGAGAAGGGAGAAGUCAAAAUGUUAAAAGAGAUAAGGAACUAAGGAAGAGAUGGUGAAUGGUGUGAUGAUGAUGAUCCGACUAAGUUAGUGAAAACUGUCAACAAUCACUUGUGUUUUAUUAAUUUCUUUAUUAUCUUUUUUUGUUUGUCAAAGCCAUC